AAAAAGUCUCCUUGGAGGGCUAAGGGUUAAAAACACACUGAGGUCGCGGCGUUAAUAUACGACGGCGGCAGUCCGACCGCUACACGGAAUGCCGCUGGCAGCGGGAACCGGGAGUUCCUGGAAGCGGCGCGGUGCGGCGCUGCCGGCGCCCGCGGAGGUGGGCGGCGGACGCUAAAUAUUUUCAUUCCGGCCCGCGCAUUCCGCAAAUCGACGCCGCGUCGGCAGCCGGCCUCUAUUGUUCCCGGCGUGUGCGCACUCAGCUCAGUCUCGUCUACGGCACAGGAAUGGAUGGAAGAAGAGCUUCCGACAGAGACACGAAGGUGUCGACAUGCUAAUGGUUGCAAACUCGUCGCUCGGAAUUCCUGCGGAACCCCGGAUUGCGUUUUCGCUAGGCAAGAAGAAACGGGACCUCGACGAGGAGGGCGCGCGGAUUGUUCGUGGGUAUGCCAUUGUAGGAGGGUAGCUGAAAACGCUUUCGGUAUACUGGCACAAAGGUGGCGGGUGUACUUUCGACCAUUGACUUGUAGCAUUUAUACAGUAAACAAAAUAAUAAAAGCUACAGCAGUCCUGCACAACUACCUUCAAAGCAGAGGUGACCCAGUACCUGGCCUCUUCAGAGGCCAUCGUAGAAUCCUACAAGAAUUGCUGGAAGCCUGUGUCUCGAUUUGGAUCGCAAGCCUCCAAUGAAGCAAAAAACAUUCGCGAUGAGUUUGUGGCUUACUUUAAUUCUGAGGAGGGCGAAGUGCCAUGGCAAGACCAACUUAUGUAAAAGCAAUAAAUUUCAGGGGCUAGUUUCACAUUUUCAUUAUAUACUGUAUUAUUCUACAUAUUUUUAAAUGUAAUGCUUAUAGAUUAACAAUUUUAUUACUUUGAUGAAGUUUCGUAUGUUUUUUUCCUCUCUCUUUCAACUUGCUAUUGUAGCUGACAUAGGACAUUAGAAACAUUAUAUAGGGUUUUCAUAAAAUAAUGAUAGACUUUUCACAUGAAAUAACGAAUAAACCAAAAAAGAUCAACAAAAACAUUUAUUUUAUUGAAAUCCUCAUGAAAUAUGCAAGACUAGUACAUUUCAAUGUGCCCAUCAUUUACAGCUUUGCAAAUAUCAAAAUGACGUUCUAGUUCAUCGCACACAUGGUGCAACAUGACUUUUGUUACUGAGGAUACUGCCUCAUUAUUGCUCUUAAAAGAAACAGAUUGCAAUUUUCCAUAGCAAAGGUAAUUUAAAUAUCCUGUUCACAUAGAAAUAGCUGAAAAAUGUAAUUUACUCACAACAAAUUUGCAAUCUGGUUCAUUUAAAAGAGAGUUUAACUGUUUUCUGUGGGGAUUUCUAUAAACUAAAUAUUUUGGCUGUACCGUUUUUGGUUUGUUUGUUAUUUAAUUUCAAAAAUGCACCAUUAUUUUAUGAAAACACUGGAUAUUUCAGUUCCCUGUUAUGGGUAUUCACUGUCUGUAAACGUAAUGAGCACUGAAUGUUAAUACUACAUUUUAUUUAUAAUUACUGCAUUUUCUCUGCUAUUAUUUGAACAGAAUAUAACAAUAGCUGAUUUUAAAAUUUUCUUCUGAUUAUUUCAGUUUAUUGAAAUAUUAGUUUCUUUCAAAAUGUAAUAAUAAAAUUAAA